UCGAAGCAGACAAUACAUUUCCGCGGCAGUACGUUUGUUUCUAUCCCUUGUGCUACUAGUGUACAUCACAGCUAUGUUUUUUGACAAGGAAAUUUAUCCAUGUGAUACGCUAAGAGGGUGAAGCUGAAUUGUGCAAAAAAGCCGUGAAACCCACCGCACUUUUAUUAUCCCAUUGCACACCUUAUUUAAGGGUGAAACGCAAAUGACCAUUAUCAGAGGUUACUUAUGUUAAUUUCGGUGUUACUGCUGAUCAUAUGUGCACAGAAAAAGGUUGCGAAAAAGGGAGACAAGGUCGUUAUUGCAAGGUUGAGCUUCAGAAAAGAAAGACACUGUGCUGCGUAAUGCAGCUGGAACGUCUUGCGUUACAUGCCAUUUUUGCCAUAGGGCUCGCCAUACUUCAUUUAAGCAGUUGUACUGUAUUGCGGCGAUGCUUGUUGAAAGACUGAUUGGACAUUUUUUUUUUCAUGAUUGCAUUGACAAGUGCUUUCUUUUGCAGCAUCGCACGAAGGCGCAAAUCAGACAUACAAGUGGCGAGUUUUCAGCUGCCGUUUCUGCAGGGCUCUGCUAGUCAUCGAAAACGCCCUUGGCAUCCUGACACAAGGAUGGAGAAUUCUGCGACGACCAAUCAAAGCCAAGAACGACAACGUCAUCAGAUAUGUGGAAAGCUGCAUAUUGUUGGACAAUAUUUUGAUCCAGGAGCCACCAGCAUCUGUUGCUGCAUGCUGCCCUCCAGGCUUUGCCGACAGCGAGGAUUAGGACGAACGGUUCCCCCUGGCAGCUGAAAAGAGCAACCAGCCGCUGGUGCCCUCUUGCCGUCGAAACCUAUUGGGUGCCACGCUCCUCGGUAUGCAAAAGAAGUACGGGAUAAGCUGGCACACCACUUCAUCACAGCCGGACAAGUUCCCUGGCACGAUAAAGGGGUCACCAGUACUUGAACUGCAAAAGAUGUGUUUGCGGGUUUCCACGCCUGGUGCCAUGGCAUCGGAGGACACCUCUCUUUGUUUGCCAUCAGCUACCCCUAUUGCUGCAUGGCUGCAAUGACAGUGGAAGAACAGCUUUUCAUGUAUGACAUUUGACAGGUACAUUGCUACAUGCAAAUGUUACCAUUGGUGAACUGGCCGCUAGUCAUUCAUGCCUACUCACCUCUGAUUACGCUCAUCCAUGGUGGUGCAGAUACUGUAACGAAAUGAGCAAUGUUUAUUUACACUUACCUCUCAGGAUAGCACAUCUGCCAGCAUACAUGUUGUGUUGUGAAAUGUUGUGAAUUAGCACUUUUUGACCUCACAAGUACUAGUUUGUACAGUUGUCAAGGUUCCACUUACAGAAAGUUAGAGGUUUCUGUUAUGGUCAACCAUCGUAUGACAAACUACAUCGUUUACCCCUAUCUUAUAUGCAGGCUGAAAUUUGUAUAUUACCUUGAUUGAAUGUCACUCAUGCUACAAAGCACCCUGAAAGACGCAUGUCUAAUUAGAAGUUUACCGUCACUAGCCUGAUUAUUGUGACAUGAUCCAGCCUAAUAAAUUUAUAGGUCGCGUGCAGCUUAAUAAUGUCAUGACAUGCAG
rnacentral:lncRNA from 1 species